rnacentral:rRNA from 1 species
GAGUUUGGGUGCAUAGCUCAGAGUGAGACGUUGGCGGCGUGCCUAACACAAAGCAAACCGAACGAUUCCACGAAUAGCAAUGCUAUUCGGGAAGAGUAGCGAACGGGUGAGUAACACGUGAGUAAUCACCCCUCGAGUAGAGGAAUAAUUCCGCGAAAGCGGGGCUAAUACCGCAUAAUACUCUGGGGCAUAAGCCUUUAGAGUCAAAGCUUUCCGAGACAAUCGGAAAGGCGCUUGAGGACGAGCUCGCGGCCUAUUAGCUAGUUGGUGGGGUAAUGGCCUACCAAGGUUAUGAUGGGUAGCCGGCUUGAGAGGGUGUACGGCCACACUGGGACUGAGACACGGCCCAGACUCCUACGGGAGGCAGCA